CACUACUACUAUCCUCCUCUCUCUCUCUCUCUCUCUCUCUCUCUUGCUGCACACAGGCAUUUUUUUCUUCCUUGGGUCACCAUAUAUGUUACUCUGGAUGCACAUCAUUAGUAAUGCAACACUGUUUCCUUAAGUGAUCCAAAUACUACUUUAUAACUACCAUAUAUGAAUUUUCUGGGCGAGUUCAUCUGAUUUUCUCUCUUUGUAUGGAGGAUUUAUAUUGUAGGGAGUAGAAAAGAAUCUAACAAAGAAUUGUACUAGUGUUGAAGACUACCCAGGACAGUGUUUCUUUCCACAGUAUGAGCUACCUUUCCUUGAAACACCGUUUUUUAUUCUAAAUUCUGCAUACGAUAUUUUUCAGUUUCAUAACAUAUUGGUUCCAAGUUCUGCUGACCCACAUGGAGAUUGGAAUGUCUGCAAGUUAAAUCCUUUAAAAUGUGACCUGCAUCAAUUUUAUGUUUUGCAAGCUUUCAGGAUUAACAUGAUCUCAACAUUGAGGUCUUUCAAUACUUCAAAGACCAGGGGAAUUUUUAUAAACUCAUGUUUUGCUCAUUGCCAAUCCGAAUCACAAGAUACAUGGUUGGGAGAGAAGUCACCUAGCGUUCGCCAUAAGGUAAGGUAUUAUAACUGCUAACUUUUUCAAGUGGGCU